rnacentral:rRNA from 1 species
UGGGGAAUAUUGCACAAUGGGCGAAAGCCUGAUGCAGCAACGCCGCGUGAGUGAUGAAGGCCUUCGGGUUGUAAAGCUCUGUCUUUUGGGACGAUAAUGACGGUACCAAAGGAGGAAGCCACGGCUAACUACGUGCCAGCAGCCGCGGUAAUACGUAGGUGGCAAGCGUUGUCCGGAUUUACUGGGCGUAAAGGAUGCGUAGGCGGAUUUUUAAGUGAGAUGCGAAAACCCUAAGCUUAACUUGGGGACUGCAUUUCAUACUGGAAAUCUAGAGUGCGGGAGAGGAGAAUGGAAUUCCUAGUGUAGCGGUGAAAUGCGUAGAGAUUAGGAAGAACACCAGUGGCGAAGGCGAUUCUCUGGACCGUAACUGACGCUGAGGCAUGAAAGCGUGGGUAGCAAACAGGAUUAGAUACCCUGGUAGUCCACGCCGUAAACGAUGAGUACUAGGUGUAGGAGGUAUCGACCCCCUUCUGUGCCGCAGUUAACACAAUAAGUACUCCGCCUGGGAAGUACGAUCGCAAGAUUAAAACUCAAAGGAAUUGACGGGGUC